rnacentral:rRNA from 1 species
AUUGAACGCUGGCGGAAUGCUUUACACAUGCAAGUCGAACGGCAGCACGGACUUCGGUCUGGUGGCGAGUGGCGAACGGGUGAGUAAUGUAUCGGAACGUGCCCAGUCGUGGGGGAUAACGUAGUGAAAAUUACGCUAAUACCGCAUACGAUCUAUGGAUGAAAGCGGGGGAUCGCAAGACCUCGCGCGAUUGGAGCGGCCGAUAUCAGAUUAGGUAGUUGGUGGGGUAAAGGCCCACCAAGCCAACGAUCUGUAGCUGGUCUGAGAGGUCGACCAGCCACACUGGAACUGAGACACGGUCCAGACUCCGACGGGAGGCAGCAGUGGGGAAUUUUGAACAAGGGGCGAAAGCCUGAUCCAGCCAUUCCGCGUGCAGGAUGAAGGCCCUCGGGUUGUAAACUGCUUUUGUACAGAACGAAAAGGUUUCUACUAAUACUAGGAGCUCAUGACGGUACUGUAAGAAUAAGCACCGGCUAACUACGUGCCAGCCGCCGCCGUAA